rnacentral:rRNA from 1 species
AACGAACGCUGGCGGCAUGCCUAACACAUGCAAGUCGAACGAGACCUUCGGGUCUAGUGGCGCACGGGUGCGUAACACGUGGGAAUCUGCCCUUUGCUUCGGAAUAACAGUUAGAAAUGACUGCUAAUACCGGAUGAUGUCGAAAGACCAAAGAUUUAUCGGCAAAGGAUGAGCCCGCGUAGGAUUAGGUAGUUGGUGGGGUAAAGGCCUACCAAGCCGACGAUCCUUAGCUGGUCUGAGAGGAUGAUCAGCCACACUGGGACUGAGACACGGCCCAGACUCCUACGGGAGGCAGCAGUGGGGAAUAUUGGACAAUGGGCGAAAGCCUGAUCCAGCAAUGCCGCGUGAGUGAUGAAGGCCUUAGGGUUGUAAAGCUCUUUUACCAGGGAUGAUAAUGACAGUACCUAGAGAAUAAGCUCCGGCUAACUCCGU